UUUUUCCUUUUAGUAGAAUGAAGAGAGAGAGCUUGAGAAAAAUGCUCUCAGUUCUCUCUUCAAUGAGUUCGCCGGCGGUGGGUGGUCCACGGUGGCCGGCGUGGCGGCGUAGGGACCGAAUGGUCUUAAAAUUUUCCUCUCGUCACCCUUGACCCAAAAUCGAACCCCUCUUAAACUAAAAAUAUCCCUAAAACCGUAGAUCUAAGGAUUUACCUCUCGAAGAAUCGUUGAGCUUUGGUGAUUAUUUGGUGUUCCACCGACGAACGUGAUGCUUGGCAAUGACGACCCAUGGUGGCUUCGAUGACCGACGGUGAAGACUCGGUGUCAGUGGGACAUGUGCGCCGAUGGAAUCUAGAAGAACUGUUGAUGGUGGCUGGAGCUUGGUGGCAUUACUGCUUUAGUUUAGUUUUAAAAACCCUAAUUUCAUAUAGAUUAUUGUACUGGGCUGGUUUCGGGUUUUCGGGUUGGGCUCUUGUAUUUUGGGCUUGUACUGAUUUGUAAUCUUCUUGGGUUUAGAUAAAAACCUACAAACAUGUAAAAUAAUAUCAAUUAAUAUUAAUAAAUACUAAUAAUAAUAACAA